AGACGUAGGGGGCGAGCGUUGUCCGGAAUUACUGGGCGUAAAGAGCACGUAGGCGGGAACUUAAGUCAGGUGUGAAAGACCGGGGCUCAACUCCGGGGUUGCACUUGAAACUGGGUUUCUUGAGGGCAGGAGAGGAAAGCAGAAUUCCUGGUGUAGCGGUGAAAUGCGUAGAAAUCAGGAGGAAUACCAGUGGCGAAGGCGGCUUUCUGGACUGACCCUGACGCUGAGGUGCGAAAGCGUGGGUAGCAAACAGGAUUAGAUACCCUGGUAGUCCACGCCGUAAACGAUGGAUACUAGGUGUGGGAGGUAUCGACCCCUUCCGUGCCGCAGCUAACGCAAUAAGUAUCCCGCCUGGGGAGUACGGUCGCAAGGCUGAA
rnacentral:rRNA from 1 species